GACGAACGCUGGCGGCGUGCCUAAUACAUGCAAGUUGAGCGCUGAAGGUUGGUACUUGUACCAACUGGAUGAGCAGCGAACGGGUGAGUAACGCGUGGGUAAUCUGCCUUUGAGCGGGGGACAACAUUUGGAAACGAAUGCUAAUACCGCAUAAAAACUUUAAACACAAGUUUUAAGUUUGAAAGAUGCAAUUGCAUCACUCAAGGAUGAUCCCGCGUUGUAUUAGCUAGUUGGUGAGGUAAAGGCUCACCAAGGCGAUGAUACAUAGCCGACCUGAGAGGGUGAUCGGCCACAAUGGGACUGAGACACGGCCCAAACUCCUACGGGAGGCAGCAGGAGGGAAUCUUCGGCAAUGGACGAAAGUCUGACCGAGCAACGCCGCGUGAGUGAAGAAGGUUUUCGGAUCGUAAAACUCUGUUGGUAGAGAAGAACGUUGGUGAGAGUGGAAAGCUCAUCAAGUGACGGUAACUACCCAGAAAGGGACGGCUAACUACGUG
rnacentral:rRNA from 1 species